UGGUGGAGCUUAGUGGUAGAGGGCUGGCCUUGCCUGCUCGAGGCCCUGGGUUAGAUCCCCAGGACCAA
rnacentral:tRNA from 1 species